UACGGAGGAUCCAAGCGUUAUCCGGAAUUACUGGGCGUAAAGAGUUGCGUAGGUGGCAAUAUAAGUAGACAGUGAAAUCGUGUGGCUCAACCAUACGCACAUUGUCUAAACUGUAUAGCUUGAGGACAAGAGAGGUACCUGGAAUUCCCAGUGUAGGAGUGAAAUCCGUAGAUAUUGGGAGGAACACCGAUGGCGUAGGCAGGGUACUGGCUUGUUCCUGACACUAAGGCACGAAAGCGUGGGGAGCGAACGGG
rnacentral:rRNA from 1 species